rnacentral:rRNA from 1 species
CCUACGGGUGGCAGCAGUGAGGAAUAUUGGUCAAUGGGCGGAAGCCUGAACCAGCCAAGUCGCGUGAGGGAAUAAGGCCCUACGGGUCGUAAACCUCUUUUGCCGGGGAGCAAGGGCCGGGACGAGUCCCGGUCCGGAGAGUACCCGGAGAAAAAGCAUCGGCUAACUCCGUGCCAGCAGCCGCGGUAAUACGGAGGAUGCGAGCGUUAUCCGGAUUUAUUGGGUUUAAAGGGUGCGUAGGCGGGCUUUUAAGUCAGCGGUAAAAAUUCGGGGCUCAACCCCGUCCGGCCGUUGAAACUGGGGGCCUUGAGAUGUCGAGAGGUAUGCGGAAUGCGCAGUGUAGCGGUGAAAUGCUUAGAUAUUGCGCAGAACUCCGAUUGCGAAGGCAGCAUACCGGCGGCGAUCUGACGCUGAGGCACGAAAGCGUGGGUAUCGAACAGGAUUAGAUACCCGAGUAGUC